UAUGGGAGCGAGCUUGCUCGCGAUAGCGUCGGGUCAGUUGGAAUUGAUGCGACUGCCUCGACGCUAUCGCGAGCAAGCUCGCUCCCACA
rnacentral:antisense_RNA from 1 species